rnacentral:lncRNA from 1 species
GUCAUAGGAAAGGAGUCCCUAUGAAAAACUUGGUGACAUUUUACCACUGAAACCAAAAUGUCUGUCUCUGUCCUUCUAAUAAGUGGAAAGAUCUGCCGUUGUCCUUGGAACAAUGAUUUCUGUUGGUCCACUGCUAAAUAAUAUACAGUGCUGUCUGCUUUUGACUUAUAUCCAUAAUUGUUUCAUAAAAGAGGUUUAGUCUUUUUGAAUUUGAUGAAGGAAUUGGAACUACAGAAAUGUAUCUCAUGUUUUGUGUGUCUCUCUCCAGGACUCUGAGG